UAGUGUACCAGUUGUCUUGCCAAAGGCAUCGCUGGGUAGCUAUGUAGGGAAGGGAUAAGCGCUGAAAGCAUCUAAGUGCGAAGCCCCCCUCAAGAUGAGAUUUCCCAUGAUUUUAUAUCAGUAAGAGCCCUGAGAGAUGAUCAGGUAGAUAGGUUAGAAGUGGAAGUGUAGUGAUACAUGAAGCGGACUAAUACUAAUAGCUCGAGG
rnacentral:rRNA from 1 species